rnacentral:rRNA from 1 species
CGGAGGGAUCAUUACCGAGUUUACAACUCCCAAACCCAAUGUGAACGUUACCAAACUGUUGCCUCGGCGGGAUCUCUGCCCCGGGUGCGUCGCAGCCCCGGACCAAGGCGCCCGCCGGAGGACCAACCAAAACUCUUAUUGUAUACCCCCUCGCGGGUUUUUUACUAUCUGAGCCAUCUCGGCGCCCCUCGUGGGCGUUUCGAAAAUGAAUCAAAACUUUCAACAACGGAUCUCUUGGUUCUGGCAUCGAUGAAGAACGCAGCGAAAUGCGAUAAGUAAUGUGAAUUGCAGAAUUCAGUGAAUCAUCGAAUCUUUGAACGCACAUUGCGCCCGCCAGUAUUCUGGCGGGCAUGCCUGUCCGAGCGUCAUUUCAACCCUCGAACCCCUCCGGGGGGUCGGCGUUGGGGAUCGGCCCUUUACGGGGCCGGCCCCGAAAUACAGUGGCGGUCUCGCCGCAGCCUCUCCUGCGCAGUAGUUUGCACACUCGCAUCGGGAGCGCGGCGCGUCCACAGCCGUUAAACACCCCAAACUUCUGAAAUGUUGACCUCGGAUCAGGUAGGAAUACCCGCUGAACUUAAGCAUAUC